rnacentral:rRNA from 1 species
CAGUAGCCGCGGUAAUACGAAGGGUGCAAGCGUUAAUCGGAAUUACUGGGCGUAAAGCGUGCGCAGGCGGUUUGUUAAGUCUGCUGUGAAAUCCCCGGGCUCAACCUGGGAAUGGCAGUGGAUACUGGCAAGCUAGAGUGUGUCAGAGGAUGGUGGAAUUCCCGGUGUAGCGGUGAAAUGCGUAGAGAUCGGGAGGAACAUCAGUGGCGAAGGCGGCCAUCUGGGACAACACUGACGCUGAGGCACGAAAGCGUGGGGAGCAAACAGGAUUAGAUACCCGGGUAGUCCCUGUCUCUUAUAA